rnacentral:snoRNA from 1 species
GUCUGCCACAGGAACUUGCGGGGGCUGUGACCUCUGCCCUGUUACGGGCAGCACAGCUACCCCGGUACACGGGU